UGGACACAGACUCCCCUCCCCCCAUCUUCUUUUUUUUUCUCCCCGGAGGCCGGCCAUCUCUAAGCCAUCAUCCACUCCCCUCUUUCGGCCAUUCCUUCUUCCCAGCUCUCGCCGCCGAACACGGCGACGCCGCCUCCAACAAGCUACACGCCGGACAGAAGCCAGAGCAGUUCCCCCUCGCUCUCCCAUCGCGCCGGUUGCAUCACCAUCUUCCCCGACCUCUCCUCUCCGUCCAGCCUCUGACAGCAACAACGACCACAGCAGCGACCCCAACAGCGCCGCCCGAAGUAGAGGCUGACCCGGGGCAAAGUCGAUCUGAAGAAGGGCGAACCGAUCUGCAGAGAAUCAGAUCAAAGAGAAGCAGAUCUGUAACGGA
rnacentral:lncRNA from 1 species